rnacentral:rRNA from 1 species
AUGAACGCUGGCGGCGUGCCUAAUACAUGCCAGUCGAGCGAACAGACGAGGAGCUUGCUCCUCUGACGUUAGCGGCGGACGGGUGAGUAACACGUGGAUAACCUACCUAUAAGACUGGGAUAACUUCGGGAAACCGGAGCUAAUACCGGAUAAUAUAUUGAACCGCAUGGUUCAAUAGUGAAAGACGGUUUUGCUGUCACUUAUAGAUGGAUCCGCGCCGCAUUAGCUAGUUGGUAAGGUAACGGCUUACCAAGGCAACGAUGCGUAGCCGACCUGAGAGGGUGAUCGGCCACACUGGAACUGAGACACGGUCCAGACUCCUACGGGAGGCAGCAGUAGGGAAUCUUCCGCAAUGGGCGAAAACCUGACGGAGCAACGCCGCGUGAGUGAUGAAGGUCUUCGGAUCGUAAAACUCUGUUAUUAGGGAAGAACAAAUGUGUAAGUAACUAUGCACGUCUUGACGGUACCUAAUCAGAAAGCCACGGCUAACUACGUG